rnacentral:rRNA from 1 species
UACGUAGGGGGCAAGCGUUGUCCGGAAUCACUGGGCGUAAAGGGCGCGUAGGCGGCGCGGGCAGUCAACGGUGAAAGCUUGGGGCUCAACCCCGAGUCGGCCGUCGAUACUCCCGUGCUUGAGCACUGUAGAGGCAGGUGGAAUUCCGGGUGUAGCGGUGGAAUGCGUAGAGAUCAGGAAGAACACCCGUGGCUAAGGCGGCUCUCUAGUACGGUACUGACGCUGAGACGCGAAAGCGUGGGGAGCGAACAGG